GGCCUUUAUUUCAGAAAACUCAACUGUUGCUGCUGCUUUAUAUGAUGAAGGUGCUAUAACAGUAAUCUAUGCAAUUCUGGUCGACUGCAGCUUCAUGCUUGAGAGAUCCUCGAAUAAUUAUGAUUACCUUGUUGAUGAGGGUACAGAAUGCAAUUCUACUUCUGAUUUACUACUGGAACGUAAUCGUGAGCAGAGCUUGGUUGACCUUUUGGUGCCUUCUCUGGUUUUGCUGAUCACCCUUUUGCAGAAAUUGCUGGAAGCUAAAGAGCAGCACAGAAAUACAAAACUAAUGAAUGCCCUUUUGCGACUGCAUCGAGAAGUAAGCCCAAAGCUUGCUGCAUGUGCAGCAGACUUGUCUUCAUCGUAUCCUGAUUCUGCACUUGGUUUU
rnacentral:misc_RNA from 1 species